rnacentral:tRNA from 1 species
GCUAGCGUAGCUUAAUUUAAAGCAUAGCACUGAAGAUGCUAAGAUGUGUCCUAAAAAACUCCGCAUGCA